CCUGUUUUAAUUUUGUUGUUGUCGUUUGGGGUUCUUGUUUGCUUUUGCUUUUUGUUUUGUUUUGUUCUGUUGUUUUUGUAGUUGGCAUCUAGAUCCGAUCUUUGCGAUAAGAUUGCCCAUGGCUACUGUGCUCAGAUAAAGAAACCUACAGCUGGAACUAUUAGAUGACUUGUGGAAGACCACUCAACUGAGCGGAUUGGGUUCAAGUCCAACUGACUGAAUUCGAGAACUCAUGCACCACACCACUGCCUCCUCUCCGUAGCACCGCUUGUCAGGUGACUUUAUCCUGAAGCCUGUGCUAGUCAUUUUAUAUCCCUCUUAAAGAAGGUAGAUCCGGCCAAGAGAGCUCUCCUUGAAGGACUUGGCUCCUGUGGAAGCUGAUAGUGUGCAAGGAAACGCAGCAGCCUGGAGACCCGAGAAAAGCUGAGGUCACCAUCUCGGAAUGCAAGUCAUGGGGACAGCACUUCAGGAAAGUGGACGGUUCCCGUGUGGCAGACUUGAGGGUUAUUUCACCCUGCAGCAAACUCAUUCCUUUUCUCCUAAGUCUGUCAACUGCUGUGCGAGAUCCAACAGUAUGAUGGAGAAUAACCUGUUUCACUCAAGGGUGAUGAUUAAAACGUUAGUCGUACCUAACAAUCUGGCGACACCUAGACCAGCAUUUAACUAAAUCACCGAGGCCAUGGUCUAGACAAGUUACCAUUCCCAGGUAACCAACGCAACAGGUAUGAGCAAAAUUCACCAAAAUAGCAGGUGCACAGCACACAAACGUGUAGCCAGCUCCUCGGUCUGCAACCACGACAGACAUUCCUUGACAGCCAGCACUCUCUCCCCCACAGUUCAGCUCCACUGGAAGGGAAGACAUGAGCGCUAACUCAUCAAAACCUCGCUGCAUCGCCCACCACUCGAGGUGCUUGCCUGGUUACUGUCUUUCUUCACAUGCGGCCUUUCAGACGUGUGCUGGCCUGAAGAUUUAGCAAGUGUAACCAUA